rnacentral:lncRNA from 1 species
UCCGCAACCGCAGAGUUGUAUCAGGCAAAGAUAGCUUGGUUGGCUUAGCAGUGGAAGCAGCAACCAAAGCCCUUGAAAUGGCAGAAGUUGCUCCUGAGGAUAUUGACUUAGUCUUGAUGUGUACCUCCACUCCUGAUGAUCUCUUCGGUGCUGCUCCACAGGUAUUUAUUUCUCCUUUGAUGGAGGGAAAAGUCACAUGCUGAUUGUUUCUGUAUUGAUGGCAGAUUCAGAAGGCGCUUGGUUGCACAAAGAACCCUUUGGCAUAUGAUAUCACAGCUGCUUGUAGUGGAUUUGUUUUGGGUCUAGUCUCAGCUGCUUGUCAUAUAAGAGGUAUAAAGUCAAAUAAGAUGAUUAGUUAGCUCAUAAGAUAAACUAUCCUUUCUUUCUUUUUUCCAGGAGGCGGUUUUAAGAAUGUUUUGGUGAUUGGAGCUGAUUCUUUAUCUCGGUUUGUUGAUUGGACUGAUAGAGGAACUUGCAUCCUCUUUGGAGAUGCUGCUGGUGCUGUGGUUGUUCAGGUACUGAACAUUCUCCACCGGUCAUUAGUAUACUAUGCUUGUCUAUUAGCUUCAUUGAAUUUAAAAGACCAAUCUUUGUUCUUUAGUUUUAACUUGGUACUUUCAUUUCAUGCAGGCUUGUGACAUUGAGGAUGAUGGGUUAUAUAGUUUUGAUGUGCACAGCGAUGGAGACGGUCGUAGGUAAUUUAGAUUCAUAUAUCCUUAGAGGCUUCCUAAGAUUCAUCUUCUUGUUAUUUUCCCUUGAGAUUCUCUUGUUGGUAACAAAUAAAGUGUGUAUGCAUGAUAUUAUCCGUGAAAUGGCCUUGUGGAUUGCGUCUGACUUGGGACAAGGAAAAGAGGCUUUCAUUGUGCAUGCAGGUGUGCGGUCCUUAAAAAUGCCAAAGGUUAAGAACUGGAACAUUGUGAGAAGGGUGUCACUGAUGCAUAACAAGAUUCUCUAUCUCCGUGGAAGUCAUGAAUGUCUCCAACUCACAACCUUGCUCUUGCAAAAGGCAAAGUUGGGAGAGAUCUCAAGUGAAUUCUUCAAGUACAUGCCAAAACUAGUAUGUUUUGGACCUAUCGCAAAAUAGAGAUCUCAAUGAAUUGCCCGAAAGCAUAUCAGAACUACGUUCCUUGCAAUAUCUAAACUUGUCAGGAACUGAUAUACAUCACUUGCCUAUGGGUUUGCUUGGGUUGAAAAAUCUAAUUCACUUGGAUUUGUGGGACACUGGUAUUUUGAGUAUUGCUGGGAUAUCAAAGCUGCAAAAUUUGUGGGACACCCCAUGUUUCUCCAGCCUCUCGGUAGUGAAAAUACAAGAUUGCAAUUGCCUCAGGGAACUGACAUUGCUGAUGUUUGCUUCAAACUUGAAAGAACUUGAUGUUUUGGGUGCAAAAGAACUAAAAGAUAUAAUAAACAAAGAGAAAGCUUCCAGAGGUGAAGAAUCAGGGAUUGCUCCCUUUCCAAAGCUGAUUAUUCUUCGACUCAGUAGUUUACCGGAGCUGAAGAAUAUUCAUUGGAAACCUCUACCCUUACCAUGUCUUAAGGAAAUCUGUGUAAUGAGAUGUCCAAAUCUGAAAAAGCUCCCUCUCGAUUCCAAAAGUGGUAGACAUGGUGAAAAUGGACUCUUCAUUAGCUACAGUAGAAAAGAAUGGAUUGAAGGUUUGGUGGAAUGGAAGGAUGAAGCUACCAAAACCCGCUUUUUAUCUUCUUGCAAAAAGGUUUAAUUUCUCUGUCUUCUCUUGUUUGUUUUCAAAGGAUUUAUUUUUCAAGUAAUGAAACUGCUUCAGUCUUUAAUAUGCAUCUGUUUUUUUUUUCUUUUUGUGUUAGAUUUGAUUAUAAGCAAACAAAGGUCAAGUGGGCUGUGGCUUCUCAGGCAGCAUGUUCCAAGUGGAUGAUAUGUUUUCUCUGUGUGUUUUCUUGUUGUUAAAGUCUCUCUUCCUGUCUCUUGCUUUAUGUGAAUUACUUUUUGAAUUUGCUCGAAGUUGAUUUGUACUUUGGUUUACGUUUGGAAUUGGUUGCAAUAGUUUCAACAACAUUUGAUUAGCAUCUUCCUUUCACCAGAAGUAUAGAAUCAAAUAAGUUGCUUCGCAUGUUUCUGCAAUAUAGACUAUAUUUGAUCAUACCUUGUGAUUCAUGGAUGAAUAUAGUAUCUUAAUGGCUAGAGGAGAAAGGAGACUGUAUUCACAAUCUUGACAAGAAUCUCACAUGUUUGGGAACAACCAUAGAAGAGCUCAAAACUAGGCGUGAUGUUUUGCAAGAGACGUCACAAGAGAGAAAGAUAGAGGUCUAUAAAGGUCAUCUACUGGUAUACAUCAGCUGCCUAAUUCAUUUGGAUUUGGGGAACAUAUGAACUUUCAAGUAUUGAAACUUAUAAACCCUCAUAUCUUUCUGCUACUAGUAACCGUCGUCUGCCAAGGAGCUACAUGAUACAAUAAUCAAAGAGAAAGAUAGGUCAGGUGUUCUACAUUUGCAGUUAUAGUGCUAUUUGUAUAUUUCAUAUCCUGCUUUCACGUUCAUCAGUUCAGACAUAUUUUUGUGUUCAAAUAUCAAAUGUCCUUUGUGACUACUAUAUUUCAAUCUAUGAUCUUAGGAUCUUAAUUUCAACCCACAUCUAUUUGCUUCACUUCUAAGUUUAUUUGUUAUCCAUUUCUUCUUCUGGCAAUGUGUUUUCUUUGUUUAGAAGUGGAAUGAGUAGUGAAUUUGCAUUCAUGUCAUAUCUAACAUCCAAAAGCUCAUUUGUGUCUUUGUCUGAUCCACCAAACUAUGGAGCUUCUUAUUAUUAAGACAGUUCACAACCAACUAUAUUUGACAACAUAUGAAUGUUUUUCACGGUUUUUCCCUUCUUUCUUUCUUUUUCUGACAGUAUAUUUUAUUCCCUUGAACUUACUCUUCUUCAAGUUGUUCACCAAACCCCUCCUAAUAUAUUACGAGUAGUACCUCAGCUACCUUUUUGUUUUUGUCUCAUUUACUUUAUAUUAAUCCAUUUCCUGUGGAAUUUAAGGAAAUAUAAUUUACUUGAUAAAAUGCUUUUCAAAAUCUUUAUAAUCUUUUGGAUAAGAACGAGGGCUAAAAGCUAGUUUAAGUGAUGAUUAGUUGGCCCUAAUAAUGGCAAACAGAAAUUUGAGUCGAGAGAGAAUUCCCCUCUCAUUAUUAAACUAUAAAAUCAUAAAUAAAGUUAAUAAAAUAUACAGAAACAUAUGUUAAACUAAAAAUACGCCAAGUUUGGAAUUAUGCUAGCUGUGAAUUGGUCGAUUCAGACAUAGCGAAUUACUUAAGAAUCAGAGACUAAUGGGUGAUCCAGAUUGAGAGCAUUUCGAAAAAACUCUUUAUUUUGAAGUUUUCGAACCUCUGUUUGAAGUUUCAAACCGUUCUUCUCCGAAAACAAAACUUCAAAUUUAAUUUCAAAAUUAUUUAUAUUUUACAAUAUACUUAUAUUUAUCAUAAUUAAUUUAUAUCCAUAAUUUUUUUAUAAAUAACUAGCACAUAUAUAAAAAUAAUACAACAAUAUUAAUUAAUAAAAUCUUACACUAAUAUAUAAAAUUAUAAACCGAAAUGCAUAAUUAAAUAUUAAAAUAUAAGCAAAAUACCACAUUUUUUCCAUAAAAUAUUUUUUCAUAAUGCUCUAUCUUUGGUUACACAAAAUUUGUUUGGAAAAUAUUUUGGAGAUUUUGAAGGCUCCAGAGAAAACUUACCAGACUAAUAGUGUUGUUAAAUUAUUUAAAUUGGUGUACUAAUUAUGUUUUCAUGUAUCUUUUAAAAAAAGGUUUUUAGUAAGUUAUUUUGUAAUAUUUUUGUUGUCUAAUUCUAGCUUAAAAAUAUUAUUUAAUUUUUUUUUAUUAAUUUUAUGUGUAAAAUUUGAAUUUAUAAAAUGAGAUAAAAAAAAGUUUUAAAGAUUAAAACGAUAAACAAGAAAAUACUUGAAAAUCAUAAAUGUGAUGUUAAUUGUAAAGACCAAAAUACAAACAAAAAAUAAAACUUUAAAUUUGAAGUUUAGAAUAGUAAAAUCUCGAGAACUCUAAAUUUGAAAUUUUGAAUUUUUUUUUUCAUAGCAAAGAAGCUAUAGAGAUGUUUGGAGAUACUCUAAUAUUGAUCUUGAAACAGCAAAACGAAUAACAAUUUGCGAUCCGUGACUGAUCGUAGGCCGCUGCAACAUGUAAACCAAUAGAACCAGAAUUUUUAAGAUUCGUCAGCCGCUUCUGUUUUUAUUUCAACGAUUUUACUAUUUUUUCAUGAUUUUAUUCUCUUAAACUAUCAAAGCUAUGUAGAUAUGUCAUAUAGUUACAAAAGGGGAUUUAAACAGAACCGUGUGUUUAUAAAAAAAAAGUCGAUUAAUGCUCUAACGGUGGGAAGAGUUACCGGACGUUUUAUAUCAUCAGGCCAGACGGCUGUGUCACCUGCAUUUUCAAACAUGGAAAAUAAGAUGUGAAAAUCGUAUUUGACUUCAAAUUAGUAGUGAUAUACAGUUGGAGCUGUUAUUAAUUGUAUAUAUUAAUAAAAAAAUAUUAUGAAUUUUUAGUUCGUAUAAGUAGAAAUGUUAGAAUUAAAUUUUCAUAAGAUAAUUUAUUGUAAGAUAAAUAUUCUAUGAUAUUUUAAAAAGUAUUUUUCACAAAUAUAGCAUACAAUACAAUGAUUAAAACGAUCAAAAAACAAGUUUUAUUAAAAAAGUUUUAUUAAAGAGGUAAACUAACUUAUAUUUUUUAGGUUAACUAUCUAAAUUUAGUGUUUAGAUUUGAAAAGUGGAAGUGAAGUUUAGUAUUUAAAUUUAAGAUUUAAAAUUAUAAUCUUAAAAAUAUUUUUAAAGAAUAAUUUUUGUAUUUCAAAAUUGAGUCAUUUUUCGAUUUUUUCAAAUAUUGAAUAAAAAUUUCUCCAAAAAAAUUAUUUAAAUUGGUAUAUCUAUACAAUAAAUAUGUAAUUAUUAUUUAUCUAUUUAAUGAAACAUAUUUUGGUCAUUUUUAUAUGUGUUUUUACUUUUUAGUCAAAAAAAUACUUUUGAGUCCUUAUUAAAGAUUUACCCUAAGUGUAAUGCAAAUAAAAUUUUGUAUAAUGUAAAUAGAACUGGCGUAAAUUUUUGUAACUCACAAAUAAAACAUUCUCAGUUGUACACUAUCAUAUGUAAUAUAAUAAAACUAAUAUUAAAAUAUAGAAAGUAAAUAUAUAAAAGUAAAAGAAGAAAAUGAAAAUAAGAAUUGUGUUUUCAUAAAAAAUUUAACGAUUUAAAAUAUAUAUAAAAAAAAUGCAAAUUGGUUCAUGAGUGGUUAGUUUUGAAUAAGCAUUGGAAUCUCCUCAAAAUUGAGCUGCCACUGCUCUCAACCUUCUCUCUGUCUCCUCCUCUCUUCGCUUCGGAACUUCCGAAGAUUCGAGUUUUUACUAAUAAACUAUUUCGAAUUCUUCCUCUCCUCUCAAUCUCUGUAAUCACAAAAUAGACAGCAAAGCUUCUUCCUUUCUUCGAUUCUUUUGUUCAAACAAUGGCGAAUGCAUCUGGUUUCUUCGCUCAUCCUUCGAUUUCCUCAAUGCGAAGCAGAACCCACCUCCCGAUUGCAGUUUCUGGAUCUGGGUUUUGCGUUUCGAAACGAUUCUCCAAAAGGGUCCUCUGCUCUAGCCUCAGCUCCCUCGAUAACAAUGCUUCUCCUUCUCCUUCUCAAUACCGACCACCCAGGUGAUAAAAACUCAACUUUUUGGUUCCUUCUUUAACUAUUCAUUGAUUUUAAUUCGAAAGUUGAUUACUUUAUUAUGUCUUAGCUUUAGCUUUAAGGAAGAUCUUUUAAGACAAAACACAUGUUUUGCUAUUGUCUCUGAUUAAGUCUUAGCUUAGCUCUAAAGGGAAGAUCUUUAAGACAAGUUAAUCUCUCUAUGUAACAAUUUAAAUGGUCUCUUAUUCAACAUUCCUUUUGUUCUGUCUGCUUAAAGGCUAGUACCGAGCGGCUGCAAACUGAUUGGAUCUGGUUCAGCUGUCCCAAGUCUUCUGAUUUCUAAUGAUGAUCUCGCAAAGAUUGUCGAUACUAAUGAUGAGUGGAUAGCUACUCGCACUGGUAUCCGCAACCGCAGAGUUGUAUCAGGCAAAGAUAGCUUGGUUGGCUUAGCAGUGGAAGCAGCAACCAAAGCCCUUGAAAUGGCAGAAGUUGCUCCUGAGGAUAUUGACUUAGUCUUGAUGUGUACCUCCACUCCUGAUGAUCUCUUCGGUGCUGCUCCACAGGUAUUUAUUUCUCCUUUGAUGGAGGGAAAAGUCACAUGCUGAUUGUUUCUGUAUUGAUGGCAGAUUCAGAAGGCGCUUGGUUGCAC